UGAACGCUAGCUACAGGCUUAACACAUGCAAGUCGAGGGGCAUCAGGAAGAAAGCUUGCUUUCUUUGCCGGCGACCGGCGCACGGGUGAGUAACACGUAUCCAACCUGCCCUUUACUCGGGGAUAGCCUUUCGAAAGAAAGAUUAAUACCCGAUAGCAUAAUGAUUCCGCAUGGUUUCAUUAUUAAAGGAUUCCGGUAAAGGAUGGGGAUGCGUUCCAUUAGGUUGUUGGUGAGGUAACGGCUCACCAAGCCUUCGAUGGAUAGGGGUUCUGAGAGGAAGGUCCCCCACAUUGGAACUGAGACACGGUCCAAACUCCUACGGGAGGCAGCAGUGAGGAAUAUUGGUCAAUGGGCGCUAGCCUGAACCAGCCAAGUAGCGUGAAGGAUGAAGGCUCUAUGGGUCGUAAACUUCUUUUAUAUAAGAAUAAAGUGCAGUAUGUAUACUGUUUUGUAUGUAUUAUAUGAAUAAGGAUCGGCUAACUCCGUGCCAGCAGCCGCGGUAAUACGGAGGAUCCGAGCGUUAUCCGGAUUUAUUGGGUUUAAAGGGAGCGUAGGUGGACUGGUAAGUCAGUUGUGAAAGUUUGCGGCUCAACCGUAAAAUUGCAGUUGAUACUGUCAGUCUUGAGUACAGUAGAGGUGGGCGGAAUUCGUGGUGUAGCGGUGAAAUGCUUAGAUAUCACGAAGAACUCCGAUUGCGAAGGCAGCUCACUGGACUGCAACUGACACUGAUGCUCGAAAGUGUGGGUAUCAAACAGGAUUAGAUACCCUGGUAGUCCACACAGUAAACGAUGAAUACUCGCUGUUUGCGAUAUACAGUAAGCGGCCAAGCGAAAGCAUUAAGUAUUCCACCUGGGGAGUACGCCGGCAACGGUGAAACUCAAAGGAAUUGACGGGGGCCCGCACAAGCGGAGGAACAUGUGGUUUAAUUCGAUGAUACGCGAGGAACCUUACCCGGGCUUAAAUUGCAGUGGAAUGAUGUGGAAACAUGUCAGUGAGCAAUCACCGCUGUGAAGGUGCUGCAUGGUUGUCGUCAGCUCGUGCCGUGAGGUGUCGGCUUAAGUGCCAUAACGAGCGCAACCCUUAUCUUCAGUUACUAACAGGUCAUGCUGAGGACUCUGGAGAGACUGCCGUCGUAAGAUGUGAGGAAGGUGGGGAUGACGUCAAAUCAGCACGGCCCUUACGUCCGGGGCUACACACGUGUUACAAUGGGGGGUACAGAAGGCAGCUAGCGGGUGACCGUAUGCUAAUCCCAAAAUCCUCUCUCAGUUCGGAUCGAAGUCUGCAACCCGACUUCGUGAAGCUGGAUUCGCUAGUAAUCGCGCAUCAGCCACGGCGCGGUGAAUACGUUCCCGGGCCUUGUACACACCGCCCGUCAAGCCAUGGGAGCCGGGGGUACCUGAAGUACGUAACCGCAAGGAUCGUCCUAGGGUAAAACUGGUGACUGGGGCU
rnacentral:rRNA from 1 species